rnacentral:rRNA from 1 species
GGAUUAGAUACCCUGGUAGUCCACGCCCUAAACGAUGGAUACUCGACAUACGCGAUACACUGUGUGUGUCUGAGCGAAAGCAUUAAGUAUCCCACCUGGGAAGUACGUUCGCAAGAAUGAAACUCAAAGGAAUUGGCGGGGGUCCGCACAAGCGGUGGAGUAUGUGGUUUAAUUCGAUGAUACGCGAGGAACCUUACCUGGGCUAGAAUGCUGGGAGACUGCUAGUGAAAGCUAGUUUUGUAGCAAUACACUGCCAGUAAGGUGCUGCAUGGCCGUCGUCAGCUCGUGCCG